rnacentral:rRNA from 1 species
UACAGAGGGUGCAAGCGUUGUUCGGAAUUAUUGGGCGUAAAGAGCGUGUAGGCGGCUUGGUAGGUCCGCUGUGAAAACUCGAGGCUCAACCUCGAGAUGUCGGCGGAAACCACUUGGCUAGAGUCCGGAAGAGGAGAGUGGAAUUCCCGGUGUAGCGGUGAAAUGCGCAGAUAUCGGGAAGAACACCUAUGGCGAAGGCAGCUCUCUGGGACGGUACUGACGCUGAGACGCGAAAGCGUGGGGAGCGAACAGG